rnacentral:rRNA from 1 species
CGGAGAGACAGCAGAAUGAAGGUCAAGCUGAAGACUUUACCAGACAAGCUGAGAGGUGGUGCAUGGCCGUCGCCAGCUCGUGCCGUGAGAUGUCCUGUUAAGUCAGGUAACGAGCGAGAUCCCUGCCUCUAGUUGCCACCAUUACUCUCAGGAGUAGUGGGGCGAAUUAGCGGGACCGCCGCAGUUAAUGCGGAGGAAGGAAGGGGCCACGGCAGGUCAGUAUGCCCCGAAACUCUGGGGCCACACGCGGGCUGCAAUGGUAACGACAAUUGGUUUCGAAUCCGAAAGGAUGAGGUAAUCCUCAAACGUUACCACAGUUAUGACUGAGGGCUGCAACUCGCCCUCACGAAUAUGGAAUCCCUAGUAACUGCGUGUCAUUAUCGCGCGGUGAAUACGUCCCUGCUCCUUGCACACACCGCCCGUCGUUUCAUUGAAGUGAGCUUUUAGCGAGGUGACGUCUAAUUGGCGUUAUCGAACUUGAGGUUCGUGACAAGGGAAAAGUCGUAACAAGGUGACCGUAGGGGAACCUGCGGUCGGAUCACCUCCCUUAGACAUGGAAGUGUACGGGUGUACAUAAUCUUCACAUUGAAUCAUCGAUGCAAUGCCUCACG